GCCACCCAAACCCAAACGACCCACCCUCUUCCUCUCCCCGUCUUCUCUUCUCCCGAUGCGUCGCCGCCUCUCCCCAUCUUCCGCUAAGCCACCGCCACCGCCCUCUCACACCUCCUCUCACCGUCGCCUGUGGCACUUCGAGAACGAGCAGCAGAGGAGGCGGCGCUCCAAGAUCGUCCUGCCUCGUCGUAGUGGCUGACGGCCAGGUGCUCCUCCUCCUCAAGGAGGCGCAUCCUCGAUCUGGCCGCCCGGCUCCGCACUCGCGCAGCCGACGGCGCCCGGGACGGAGGCGCUACAGUUGGACCAAGACCCCGCAUUUUUCGUCGACGGGCUGACUCCACCACCGGCGGCGUCACGCUGCAGUUCCAGCGAUCCGCGACCGUCUCCGGCAAGGAGCAGGAGCAGGAGGCGGUGGCGCACGUCGCCUGCAGCAGCCUCCACAUCAACCGCAUCGCCAUCCAGGUUUGGUCAAUCGAUUUGCUAAUGCGGGAGAUGUAGCUUUAGAGGCUGCUGGCACUACAACAGUGAAGUUUUACUCAGUCCAGGUAUCCUUUUGCAAAGCUUAGAUGGUGUUAUGCACUGGGCAAUGGAGACAAUCGCGUGGUGGUAAGCCUCCUCUCCACUCGCAAUGGACUUCAAUGCUCCUUGGCGGGUCGCUGAGAUGCAGCCAUGCAGCCUCAAAUCGCCAUCUCCAGGAGAAGGAGGUUUGGUUUUGCUCUUACUCUAUGUUGCUAUUACGUGCACUUCACCACUCAUUGACACUUAACUGAAUGUUUUUUUGAUGCAUGUGUGGAUGGCAUGAGAGCUAGUUCUUGGGGUUCAUGUCAAAUCUGCUCUCAACUUCUCAACAAAGGGCAGCAAUAACCAUGAUUGAUUUCGUACAACAAAGGAGAAGGGGUUCAUUUGGGCGGGCAAGCUGUGCGGUCAGAGGUGGUGCUACCGUUCGGCAUUGGCUGCACACAUUGCCAUGGUGAGCUCCUCUACCUCCUCUGUAGUUGUUUGCCCUGAUGAUGCUCAUGGCCAUCGACCCGCGGUCGUACAAUGCUCUGUUUCACCGCCAUCGAGCCAUGGAUGAUCUAGGAUUAGUUAGGGUUUUGUUGCGGAUAGAGAUUUGUUACUUUGAUGGGCUGCUGUUUAAGGUUGAUUGGCUUGAUUAGCUCAACAGGAUGUUGUUUAGGGAUGAAUAUAUAAGUAUGUUGUGGUCUGCAGUUCCGGCAUUCAA